rnacentral:rRNA from 1 species
GCGGCCUAUCAGCUUGUUGGGGAGGUAACGGCUCACCAAGGCUUCGACGGGUAGCUGGUCUGAGAGGAUGAUCAGCCACACUGGGACUGAGACACGGCCCAGACUCCUACGGGAGGCAGCAGUGGGGAAUCUUGCGCAAUGGGCGAAAGCCUGACGCAGCGACGCCGCGUGCGGGAUGAAGGCCUUCGGGUUGUAAACCGCUUUCAGCAGGGAAGAAGCGAAAGUGACGGUACCUGCAGAAGAAGCACCGGCUAACUAUGUGCCAGCAGCCGCGGUAAUACAUAGGGUGCAAGCGUUGUCCGGAAUUAUUGGGCGUAAAGAGCUCGUAGGUGGUUCGUCACGUCGGAUGUGAAACUCUGGGGCUUAACCCCAGACCUGCAUUCGAUACGGGCGAGCUUGAGUAUGGUAGGGGAGACUGGAAUUCCU